UACGGGGGGGGGCAAGCGUUUGUUCGGAAUUACUGGGCGUAAAGGGCUCGUAGGCGGCCAACUAAGUCAGACGUGAAAUCCCUCGGCUCAACCGGGGAACGACGCAUGAAACUGGCAAGCUAGAGUACCAAAGAGGGUGGUGGAAUUCCCGGUGUAGCGGUGAAAUGCGUAAAUAUCGGGAGGAACACCUGUGGCGAAGGCGGCCACCUGGUUGGAUACUGACGCUGAGACGCGAAAGCGUGGGGAGCAAACAGG
rnacentral:rRNA from 1 species